GGUUUUAGCCCGCGGGAUGCUACGUGGCCCCGCCCUCUUCCGGGAGCUGGUGGCGCUUGGGAGACGCGGCCCGUGUUCUGCGUCCGGCGCCCCCUGCCUCACGUCUCCAAUGCUGCGUUUUCUGAGCUGGUUCUCUUAGCUGCAAUAUUGCUGUCCGGCCCUCUGCUUUCAGCUUUAGCAAGGAGGCCACCAUUUGCUCGAACCUAAGUGGCGAAUUCCCCGUCACCCAUGCUUAACCUGGCUUCUGAGGAAAAUCUAUUCAAGAGUGGUGCUAUCCCCAGUACCUGGAAGACUUUGAUAGUUCUGGAUACAAAGCAUGUGAAAAUAUCAAGUAACAUUUCACAUCCUGAUGAAGAGCAUGCUGCUAAAAACACCCCUCUGGAAAGUGGCGACUGUGAUGCUUCCGCAUAUGCCCGAAUUCCGAGAAGAAAUCCCCCAACUAACAGAGGCAAUUCUCCCUGGAAGGCAGGAAUCCCACCAUGGAGAAUCAACAUGCGAUCAGUCACUGUUCUGUAUGAAUGCACAUUUCUCAGGUCUCUGGAGAAUUCGCAGAGAAAUUGUCAGUCCUUCACCAGACUUUAUAGGACUCUUCAGUUUAUGGAAGAGGUUCAGAAAAAGAGCUGAUGCAGGUCUUGGCACUGUGUCAGUCACAGAUGAAGGAUAUCUGUUUGGACUAAGAUGACAAUGCAUUUCUUGGAGGAAAAUGGAUGGCAGUGGAAAGCCUCUUCUGAGCUGACAAAGAACAAAAAUGGCACCCACACCCUUUUGUCUAAAAACAUGACAUCUUCUCAGGCCUUCUGGGUACUGUUUCUUUUUGUUCCUUUUUUUUUUUUUUAAAGCUAAAGGUGAAUUGACAGUGUCUACCCUGAACGUGCACUGUAUUAAGCAUUGCAUUUUCAUAUGUAUAUGAAUGUAUAUUUCAUUUUAUCCUCAAACCUAGAUUGUGAGAUUCAUAUCAUUUUUUUUGGAAAUGAUAUGCUAAUUGUCUUGAAAUUGUCUUGAAUUGCCUUGUCUUGAAAUCUGGGAUUGUUUGUCUUGAAAUUUAGGAUGAUAUAUUUCUUUAUGAAGCAGCUUUUUAAGAAUAACUCAUCAGUGAUCUUGUUCAAGGCUGAACCCUGUUGGUGAGGUUCCCAGUUUGCACAUUUUCUACCUUUGCCUCAGAUGUGAGAUAGCCAGUCUGAAGUCCAGAUACAAGCAUACAUCUUUCUCACUUAAAAACAAUUCUAGACAAAGAAACCCAGUAUUUUAAUGGAAAAGCAUGGGAAAAAAAAUUAUUACAUGAUGCAUGUACAUUGAAAUUCUCCCAGCUAGUACUUUCUCCUUUUUCUCACAGACUUCAUUUUGCUAUUCAAAGCAACAAUUUGCUUAGGGCACAUUUUAUUAGCAUUUGGGUUGAUAAUGUACAGUAUGCAAAUUAGAUAUGAAAGCCACUGUUGCAAAAAAGAAAAAAAAAGCCAAUCUAAUUUAGGAAUCUGAUCUCUAUUUGCAGUUGCUCAUCCAUGUCACCCUGCCCAACAUGUGUCCAUGGGCCAGAUGCAUGAUGCCCUGCAGAGUAUCAUAAUACUCAGUUGUUAAUUUCAUAGUCUACUAUAGCAUCAAAGAAUGGCAGAGGCAGCCCACAAGCAGGAGAAGACAGCUAGCUGUGAAGCAGUUAAAUGCUUGCCUUCCCUUGGUAAAAGAAAUCUUUCUGAGGCAACUCCGCUGACUUCAGAACUUGAAUAUUUAUGCUACAGAGGAAAUCAGCCAUAAAUUUACAUUUUUAGCAGCUAGGUUAUCGCAGGGACGGAAAGGAAGAAUAAUAAUAUUAAAAAAGGAAUUGGACAAUAUAAUCAGUCCUUCACAAAAUCUGGCCCAACUUUAAAAGAUAAUUAUUGAAAAUAGAAGUCCCUUUGUUCCUAAUUAGACAAAGAAUUGUCUUAAUACAAAUUGUUCUUAAAUCCAUCUUUAAUCAAAUUUGUUCAGUGCUUAGCACUCCAUUAUAGUAACAGCUUAUUUAUCUGACUCUGUCAGGGAGUUAGUUGUUCCACAUAAGUGAAUUUCACAGAUAACUGAAACAUACACCCUCAAGUGAAAAAACUUUAGAAAAAUGAACCAUUUUGAUGAAAACACUACUAAAAUGUAUUAUGCAACACCUGCUAUCUUAAAUAGCGUUUGUCAAAUAAUUAAUGCCUUUUCUAAAUGUAGCCAAUAUUUCCCAAGAAGUAACAAAUAGGAACAGAAAUGGGGCAGGGAAUAAAAACGAAGACUCCUCAAAUCUGCCACGGCUGCUGGUUUUGCAAUCACAGGUGUUUCAGUUCUUUGAGUCAUUGUCAUCUGCAACUCUCAAGCUGUCCCUGCUGCUGUGGAGGCAAGAUGUCACUAAGGGGACUGUUGCCUACGGAUGCUUCGUGGCUGGCCCCUGCUUCUGCCACUGUGAAUAAGUGAAGGCUCUGUUACUGCCCCUGGAGGACUCACUGACUCUGGAACCACUUCUCGUGAUGUCUGCAAGCUCCUAUUGUGGUAGGGUCGCAUCUCUGAAGUUACUCUAAGGAAGCGGAGAGAACAUUUUUCCCCUUUUUUGCCUUACUGUGCUUUUGAGGUCUCACGGAGAUCUUGUGUGGAAGCAAGUCUCUCUUUUCUUACUUCCAGCCAAAUCAUUUCUUAAGAAUAGACAAGUUCGUGGGGACUUGGCUGAAGAGCAACAGAAACAACAAACACACUGUGGGGUGCCUCAAAUAAUUUUAUUUUCUUGGAGGCUUAAAGAUUCUUGUUUUCUUAAAAAUAGAUAAUCUAUGCGUACCUCACCAGCCCACCUAAUGUGCCCUCACAUGGCUGAGUCUCAGUGGGAACCCAACUUAAGCUCAAGCCAUUAGGGCAAUAUCUGAGAGGCACAGUUUUUGUGACAAAUCGGCUUUUUUCUGGGUAGCUAACCAGUGGUUAGGUGCUGAGUUCCUUAUUACCUGGCUGUUGCUUUCCUCUUUUAACUCUCCCAAUUCUAAUUGGCUGCUUUCAGUCUAUUAUGAUUUGACAACAGAGAUAACCAAAGUUGGUGGUUCCUUGUAUAAAACAUGAGUCUAUGAAGUAUAAUGAAAGCCCUUAUUGCAGUCGUCUUCAACAUUUUUGAAAUCAUGCAAUUGUUAGCAGCAUAUGGGAAGUGAUCAAAGUUUCCCCAAGCAGUUUUAAAGAUUGGAUUUAACUAUAAUACAAAUAAGACUUCAGUGUAAUGUCUUACAAAACACCCACCACUGUCUUUGUUCUCUUGGACUUAUUUAACCAUGUCGCCACUGUGUUGUUUUCUUUAGAAACAUUUAUUUUCCUCACCCUACUUGCUUACGCUUUUUCAUAUUCUGGUAAACAUAAGACCUUUCUUUGAAAUACAUAGUUUUAAAUAGCUCAUAUUUAUGGAACGGGACCCACUCAGCUCAACCUUCCAUGUGAAAGAUAUCUCUGAAGUUGUACGAUUAUGACCUAUGAUUAUGACCCAUAAUUUUUUUUUUUGAUAUAUAUUUUAUUGCAUUUUAGGUUUUGGGGUACAUGUGAAGAGUAUGCAAGAUUUUGCAUAGGUACACACAUGGCAGUGUGAUUUGCUGCCUUCCUCCCCAUCACCUAUAUCUGGUAUUUCUCCCCAUGCUAUCCCUCCCCAACUCCCCA
rnacentral:lncRNA from 1 species